rnacentral:rRNA from 1 species
CACGUAGGGCGCAAGCGUUGUCCGGAAUUAUUGGGCGUAAAGAGCUUGUAGGCGGUCUGUCGCGUCUGCUGUGAAAAUCCGGGGCUCAACCCCGGACUUGCAGUGGGUACGGGCAGACUAGAGUGUGGUAGGGGAGACUGGAAUUCCUGGUGUAGCGGUGAAAUGCGCAGAUAUCAGGAGGAACACCGAUGGCGAAGGCAGGUCUCUGGGCCACUACUGACGCUGAGAAGCGAAAGCAUGGGAGCGAACAGG